CACGUAGGGGGCGAGCGUUAUCCGGAUUCAUUGGGCGUAAAGCGCGCGCAGGCGGGCCGUCAAGCGGGACCUCUAAUCCCGGGGCUCAACCCCGGGCCGGGUCCCGAACUGGCGGCCUCGGGUUCGGUAGGGGAGAGCGGAAUACCCGGUGUAGCGGUGGAAUGCGCAGAUAUCGGGUAGAACACCGAUGGCGAAGGCAGCUCUCUGGGCCGCAACCGACGCUGAGGCGCGAAAGCUAGGGGAGCGAACA
rnacentral:rRNA from 1 species